rnacentral:lncRNA from 1 species
AAAGAUGUCGGUGCCACACAUUACUUGAUACAAAUGACGUUGUUGCUGCUCAGAUCAUUGAUCAAUGACCUCAUUUCUAACCGUAGCACAUGCACUGAAAGAAGGUGUGUGACACUAUCCGCCACAAAUAAAUGAAUGUGUGGGAAACGCUGAUGUGAAGUUUAUCUAAUAAUAGUUUAUUUGUUUGUUAUUUUGAGUUAAAUGUGUUAAAUUUGACUCUGGAAAUAAAAGGUUAUUUUGAGAUUUUGAAGUUAGUUUAAAGUAAUGAUUUUGCACCAGAAGCGUUGAAAAAGUAGCGAGUAGUAACCGAUACCCAACCCUAGUAAUGAUGGAGCCCACCUGAUGUUUGUCUUGUUUUCACCUGCCCUAGUGAUGCGUUUCCAUCUGCUGAAGCACACACGACUGAAUGUGGUGACGCUCCUCAACGAGCUGCCAAAAACCCAGCAUGACAUCAUCUCUUUCACCGUGGACGUAAACGCCUACACGUCAUGGAGUUAAGGAAAGGUGUUAGGAGAGGAGUUAGGAAAAGUUUGUGCAUCAUCAACGACCAGCUCUUCAUCAGAAUGGCUACAACGGAGCAGAUCAGCAGAGCUUUUGUGCCCCGCCCCCUUCCUCCAGCCCAGUGCCCACCCUCACUGCCCCACAGCAGGAGAUGCUCAGCACCUUCUCCCUGAAGUCAGACAUGAACCUGGAAUGGUCCCUGAAGUGUCUGCAGGACAACAAGUGGGACUUGAACAAAGCAAAACUGUUUUCCAAAUAUUUUCACUAAAAUCAGAGUUAAUAACUUUUAAAAUAUAAUUUAUUUUCAAAGGAAGAAGAAAAACAUUAUGGUCUGCUUAAAUAAUUUAUUUCUCUUUUUUAAUAAACACUUUUUUUCAGAAUCA